rnacentral:rRNA from 1 species
GUGAGGAAUAUUGGUCAAUGGACGAGAGUCUGAACCAGCCAAGUCGCGUGAAGGAAGACGGUUCUAUGAAUUGUAAACUUCUUUUGUGCAGGAAUAAAGUGGGUUACGUGUAACCUUUUGUAUGUACUGUACGAAUAAGGAUCGGCUAACUCCGUGCCAGCAGCCGCGGUAAUACGGAGGAUCCGAGCGUUAUCCGGAUUUAUUGGGUUUAAAGGGUGCGUAGGUGGCUUGAUAAGUCAGCGGUGAAAGUUUGCAGCUUAACUGUAAAAUGGCCGUUGAAACUGUCGGUCUUGAGUGCAAAUGAGGUAGGCGGAAUGUGUUGUGUAGCGGUGAAAUGCUUAGAUAUAACACAGAACUCCGAUUGCGAAGGCAGCUUACUGGGAUGCAACUGACACUGAUGCACGAAAGCGUGGGUAUCAAACAGGAUUAGAAACCCCGGUAGUCC